rnacentral:pre_miRNA from 1 species
CUCAUACUCCCUCCGUUCCGAAUUACUUGUCGUAGGUAUGGAUGUAUCUAGAUGUAUUUUAGUUCUAAAUACAUCCAUUUUUGCGACAAGUAAUUUGAAACGGAGGGAGUAUUUU